CAAAUAUAUAUUAUAGUGAAGGAAAAGAUUUCAGGAGGUAAGCCAAACAUAUAACUCUGAAAGGACAGCUUGAGGGAGGUAAGACAAAUAUAUUAUAGUGAAGGGAAAGCUUUCAGGAGGUAAGCCAAACAUAUAACUCUGAAAGGACAGCUUGAGGGAGGUUAGACAAAUAUAUUAUAGUGAAGGGAAAGCUUUCAGGAGAUAAGACAAGCAUAUAACUCUGAAAGGACAGCUUGAGGGAGGUAAGAGAAACAUAUGAUGCUGAAAGGAAAUCUUGGGGGAGACAAGUUAAACAUUUAAUGUUGAAGGGAAAGCUUGGGGGAGGAAAGAAAAACAUAUAAAGCCAAAGGGAAAGCUUUCAAGAGGUAAGACUAAUAUAUCAUGCUGAAGGGAAAGCUUUGGGGAGACGAGACAAACAUAUAAUGUUGAAGGGAAAUCUUGGGGGAGGUAAGACAAACAUAAAAUGCUGAAGGGAAAUCUUGGGGAGACAAGAAAAACACAUAAUGCCAAAGGGAAAGCUUUCAGGAGGUAAGAUAGAUAUAAUGCUGAAGGGAAAGCUUAUGGGAGGUAAGAAAAACAUAUAAUGUUGACAGGAAAGCUUUCAGGAGGUAAGACAAACAUAUAAUGCUGAAGGAAAAGCUUGGGGAAGGUAAGACAAAUAUAUGAUAUUAAAGGGAAGACAUGGGAGAUGUAAGACAAACAAAAUAUUGAAGGGAAAUCUUUGGGAAGGUAAGACUAAUAUAUAAUGUUGAAGGGAAAUCUUUUGGAAGGUAAGACAAAUAUAUAAUGUUGAAGGGAAAUCUAUGGGGAGGUAAGACUAAUAUAUAAUGUUGAAGGGAAAUCUUUGGGAAGGUAAGACAAACAUAUGAUGUUGAAGGGAAGGCUUGGGAGAGUUAAUACAAACAUAUUAUGCUGAAGGAAAAGCUUGGGGGAGUUUAAGACAAACAUAUGAUGUGGAAGGGAAAGCUUGGGGGAGGUAAGACAAACAUAAAAUGCUGAAGGGAAAUCUGGGGCGACAAGAAAAACACAUAAUGCCAAAGGGAAAGCUUUGAGGAGGUAAGAUAAAUAUAAUGCUGAAGGGAAAGCUUAGGGGAGGUAAGACAAACAUAUAAUGUUGACGGGAAAGCUUUCAGGAGGUAAGACAAACAUAUAAUGCUGAAGGGAAAUCUCAGGUGAGGUAAGACAAACAUAUAAUGCCAAAGGGAAAGCUUUCAGGAGGUAAGACAAACAGAUGACGUUGAAGGGAAGGCUUUGGAAAAUUAUGCAAUCAUAUAAUGCUGAAGGAAAAGCUUGGGGGAGGUAAGACAAAUAUAUGAUAUUAAAGGGAAGACAUAGGAGAUGUAAGACAAACAAAAUAUUGAAGGGAAAUCUUUGGGAAGGUAAGACUAAUAUAUAAUGUUGAAGGGAAAUCUUUUGGAAGGUAAGACAAUUAUAUAAUGUUGAAGGGAAAUCUUUGGUGAGGUAGGAAACAUAUAUAAUGUUGAAGAGAAAGCUUUCAGGUGGUAAGACAUACAUCUUAUGUUGAAGGGAAAUCUUGGGGAGGUAAGCCAAACACAUAAUGCUGAAGGGAAAUCUCUGGUGAGGUGAUACAAACAUAUAAUGCAAAGGGAAAGCUUUUAGGAGGUAAGACAAACAUAUAAUGUUGAAGGGAAGGCUUGGGAGAGUAAAUACAAACAUAUAAUGCUGAAGGAAAAGCUUGGGGGAGUUUAAGACAAACAUAUGAUGUUGAAGGGAAAGCUCGGGAGAUGUAAGACAAAUAAUAUUGAAGGGAAAGCUGGGGGAGUUUAAGACAAACAUCUUAAAUACAUAAGAUCUGAAGUAUCUGUCUGUCAUAUGUCCUUUGUCUUGAAAAAGUGUAAUUAUUACAUACACUUCAAUGAUAGAUAAGUGUAUGUACAGUAUUUCAAGCUCUAAAGCAUCCUGAAUCUUUGAUAUUCUCUGUUAAAUUAUUCACUACUCUCCUCUGCUAUUUUUGUUCCCAUGUUAUGUUUCAUGGUAUCUAAAACUCCUUUGUUGCAUUGUUAUAUUUCAUGUUAUC